AGUACUGCUCGUCUAGUGCUCUAGAUUUUAUGUUGUAGGUUACAGUGAAGAAAAUUGUUAACAGUUCUGCAUCCCUUCUCUAAUUCUCUGUCACUAAAGCAGUUUCCAAUGAUCUUCAUCGUGGCUGUAGGUGUUGCUGUAGGAAUGGCUGUGGGAGUUUCUGUUGGUAUUGCUGUGUGUGUAAUUGCUGCAGUCGUCAUAGUACACAGUGAAAACACGAAUCAAAUUCCAGCUGAUGGCAGCCUUAGUCAACCUGUUGAAAGUAUCACCUAUGCCUUCAUCGACCACUCCAUCAACCAUUCCUCUCAGAGAAUUAACGUAAGUAAAGCUAUAAUAAUGUACAUAUUGUUAAGAUUUGUCUCUCUAUUCUGUUGGAAGCUUUUCCUUUGUUGUCAUGGUGUGUGUGUGUGUUUUAGGUCGAUGGUGAAGAUGCAGUCACCUAUGUCUCAGCUAUGACCUCUUCUGACAGAGGAAGAGAGACAGAGAACUCUGCAAACACCAGCCCUCUCUAUUCUACUGUGUAUCAACCUUACAGACCCAAGACAUCAACAUGAAGACUACACUCACUCAUUCACACAUUCUAUAAAAUCAGUAUACAGAUAUACAGUCAGGUCUGGAAAUAACUGGACACUGACACAAGUUUUUGACUGUUUACCAAAAUGUAUUCAAGUUACAGUUAAAUAAUGAUGAUGGGCAUAAAGUGCAGUCUCUGAGCUUAAAUCUGAGGGUGAAGGGUUUAGGAAUUGCACAUCUUUAAUAUGUAGCCCCUCCUUUUUCAAGGGACCAAAAGUCAAUGGACAUUUGACCCAAAAGCUGUUUCAUGGACAGGUGUGGGUUAUUCCUUUGGUAUUUCUAUAUAGGCAGGUAAACGGUCUGGAGUUGAUUCCAGGUGUGGCAUUCACAUUUGGAAGCUGUUGCUGUGAACCCACAUCAUGCGGUCAAAGGAGCUCUCAAUGCAAGUGAAACAGGCCAUUAGGCAGCAAAAAACUAAAAUCCAUCAGAGAGAUAGCAGGAAUAUUAAGAGUGGCCAAAUCAAUGGUUUGAUACAUUCUGAGAAAAAAAGAACAUACUGGUGAGCUCUGCAACACAAAAUGGCUCAUGAAGCAUAACAAAUUUGUCCAAUUACAUUUGAGCCUGAAAUAAGGGGAUUGUGUACAAUUUUUUUUGCAAUUCCUAAAAAUCUCUUAUGAUUUUUUUGUUCAACCCCUUGAAUUAAAGCUGAAAGUCUGCACUUCAAUUGCAUCUCAGUUGUUUCAUUUCAAAUCCAUUGUGGUGGUGUACACUGCCAGAAUUAUGAAAAUUGUGUUAGUGUCCACAUUUUUCUGGACCUACAUGUAUAUUUUGUGUGAUAGCAAGCUACUCAAUUUGGUUCCGGGAACAUGUGUUUUCAUUCAGUUAAGGUAGACGUGUUAAGUCAGAAGGGUGUCUGACAGAGACUGGCACAAAUUACAAUUAUUUAAUACAAUGACCAAUGUUUGUACAAUGUUUACAAAUUCAUUAAAAUGUUGU
ensembl:lncRNA